GACGAACGCUGGCGGCGUGCUUAACACAUGCAAGUCGAACGGUAAGGCCCUUCGGGGUACGACGAGUGGCGAACGGGUGAGUAACACGUGGGUGAUCUGCCCUGCACUUUGGGAUAAGCCCUGGGAAACUGGGUCUAAUACCGAAUAUGACCAUGGACUUCACGGUUUGUGGUGGAAAGCUUUUGCGGUGUGGGAUGGGCCCGCGGCCUAUCAGCUUGUUGGUGGGGUAAUGGCCUACCAAGGCGACGACGGGGUAGCCGGCCUGAGAGGGUGACCGGCCACACUGGGACUGAGAUACGGCCCAGACUCCUACGGGAGGCAGCAGUGGGGGAAUAUUGCACAAUGGGGCGCAAGCCUGAUGCAGCGACGCCGCGUGGGGGAUGACGGCCUCGGUU
rnacentral:rRNA from 1 species